GAGGCCAGAGAGCAGCGGCGCUGCCCCGUCACAAACCCGGGAGCGCUCACACACCAGGCGCGGGUGAUCGCACUCACCACAGACUGGUCCCUGGGGCUGAUCUCUGUCAAAGCCACUCCUCAAAUCGGCUUUUCUUCAGAAUUCCAAAAGUGAGGAGAAAUUAUGGCAGAGAGAAGCGACGGCUGAAGGGACAACAACAGCUAAAGUGGUUGGCGAACAUUGGUCGUGCAGAUAUCAAGAUUGAAAAUAUUGGGAAUUAUCGCGUUUGCUGACUGCAUUUCAUCAAAACUUGUAAAGACACUCGUGAUGCUGUGGAACGGAAUGACAAUGGAAGAUGGAAUGGAAUCAGUGUCUCACUCCGAUCACCUUCAAUAUUCAGGAAAGAAUGGGAGACAUUGUCUGACAAAUGGAAACAGAAAG